AAUAAACCUAUGAGCAAGAGUAGUAAGAAUAGCUGUAUGCACAAAGAGAGCUGCUGGUUGCUGGGAAUGCAGUUGCAAAGGUUAUUCCGAAUGGACUUGUGAGGGAAGUCCGAAAUUGUAAAAGAGUAGGCGCUUACGGGAGCCCUGUCCGUUAUCAGUGGGGUGCAUAUGUUAGUAUGCAAAAUGAGAGGACGAUUUACUCGUCAAUUUGGGUGGCACCACAGAAGUUGAAGGCUUUUGUCCCUAUC
rnacentral:ncRNA from 1 species